UACGAAGGGGGCGAGCGUUGUUCGGAUUUACUGGGCGUAAAGGGCGCGCAGGCGGUUCUGUUUGUCGAGUGUGAAAGCCCCGGGCUCAACCUGGGAACUGCGCUCGAAACGGCAGAACUAGAGUUCGGGAGAGGAGAGUGGAAUUCCCAGUGUAGAGGUGAAAUUCGUAGAUAUUGGGAAGAACACCGGUGGCGAAGGCGGCUCUCUGGACCGAUACUGACGCUGAGGCACGAAAGCGUGGGGAGCAAACAGG
rnacentral:rRNA from 1 species